AAAAGCCAGAAAAGCUGUCUCAACUGCAAAAUUCAAUCACUUGAUCAGGAUUAGUUGCAGAAGAACAUAAAGCACAGGAAAGAAUCGAGAGCAAAAUCUUUUACAAUUAAAAAAUGGUACUUGAAAUGCAUUAGUUUUCAGGGAAAUGUCAAGAAAAAGUACAUUUUUGAAAAGGUUUUAUUCGUACUUCCAUUGAUACAGAUUUGCUAUACUAUAGAAACACUAUGGAAUCAGCUAAAGGAUCUACAAAUUCUACAUAUAUCAAUGGCAGAGAAAUCACUGAGUUUUCAAAAUCCAAAAGAGAAUCAGAGUCCAGUAUAUAAGUAUCAAUUUAAAAAAUCGAUAAGAUAAAUAAAGCAUAUGAUAAAAUUUCAAAAUCAAUCUCCAAGCCUUAAUCCCAUCAUAAAGAUUUAGAGACAUGCACAAACUAUGAUAUCUUUAUUCUAUCCCACUAUGCAAAGCAUCCUCCUUUCACAUAAAGCCUAAACUACAAACAGGAAUCAUCAGAAAAGUAAAGAACAGUGACAGAAGGAUAAGAGAGACU
rnacentral:misc_RNA from 1 species